rnacentral:rRNA from 1 species
AACGAACGCUGGCGGCAGGCCUAACACAUGCAAGUCGAACGCCCUAGCAAUAGGGAGUGGCAGACGGGUGAGUAACGCGUGGGAACGUGCCCUUCGGUUCGGAAUAACUCAGGGAAACUUGAGCUAAUACCGGAUACGUGCGAGAGCAGAAAGAUUUAUCGCCGAAGGAUCGGCCCGCGUCCGAUUAGCUAGUUGGUGAGGUAAUGGCUCACCAAGGCGACGAUCGGUAGCUGGUAUGAGAGGAUGAUCAGCCACACUGGGACUGGGACACGGCCCAGACUCCUACGGGAGGCAGCAGUGGGGAAUAUUGGACAAUGGGCGCAAGCCUGAUCCAGCCAUGCCGCGUGAGUGAUGAGGGCCCUAGGGUUGUAAAGCUCUUUCGCCAGGGACGAUAAUGACGGUACCUGGAUAAGAAGCCCCGGCUAACUUCGUGCCAGCCGCCGCGGUAA